GAUGUACUCCCUCCGUAUGGAAAUACUUAUCCUAGAAAUAGAUAAAAGGGAUGUAUCUAUAACUAAAAUAAGUCUAGAUACAACCAUUUCUAUGACAAGUAUUUUCGGAUGGAGGGAGUAUAGU
rfam:Triticum aestivum genome assembly, contig: Triticum_aestivum_CS42_TGACv1_scaffold_569088_7AS